GAGGAGGAGCAGAAGCACGACACCGCGCACACCGGGGUGAGGAGGUGGGGGAGAGGAGGAGCAGAAGCACGACACCGCGCACACCGGGGUGAGGAGGUGGGGGAGAGGAGGAGCAGAAGCACGACACCGCGCACACCGGGGUGAGGAGGUGGGGGAGAGGAGGAGCAGAACCACGACACCGCGCACACCGGGGUGAGGAGGUGGGGGAGAGGAGGAGCAGAAGCACGACACCGCACACACCAUGGAGAGAUACACACAUGCACACCUUCAAACCAAAGAGAGG